GUGCAGCAGUCGCGAAUCUUCGGCAAUGGACGCAAGUCUGACCGAGCGACGCCGCGUGCGGGAUGAAGGCCCUUGGGUUGUAAACCGCUGUCAGAGGGGAUGAAAUGCGAGAGGGCUAUCCCUCUCGUUUGACAGAGCCUCAGAGGAAGCACGGGCUAAGUGCGUGCCAGCAGCCGCGGUAACACGUACUGUGCGAACGUUAUUCGGAAUCACUGGGCUUAAAGGGUGCGUAGGCGGUUUAGUAAGUAGGGUGUGAAAUGCCAGAGCUCAACUUUGGCACGGCGCUCUAAACUGCUAAACUUGAGUGAGAUAGGGGUGUACGGAACUUCCGGUGGAGCGGUGAAAUGCGUUGAUAUCGGAAGGAACACGGUGGCGAAAGCGGUACACUGGGUCUUAACUGACGCUGAGGCACGAAAGCCAGGGUAGCGAACGGGAUUAGAUACCCUGUAG
rnacentral:rRNA from 1 species